AGAGUUUGAUCAUGGCUCAGGACGAACGCUGGCGGCGUGCUUAACACAUGCAAGUCGAACGCUGAAGCUCAGCUUGCUGGGUGGAUGAGUGGCGAACGGGUGAGUAACACGUGAGUAACCUCGCCCCUUCUUUGGGAUAACGCCCGGAACGGGUGCUAAUACUGGAUAUUCACUGAUCUUCGCAUGGGGGUUGGUGGAAAGGUUUUUCUGGUGGGGGAUGGGCUCGCGGCCUAUCAGCUUGUUGGUGGGGUGAUGGCCUACCAAGGCUUUGACGGGUAGCCGGCCUGAGAGGGUGACCGGUCACAUUGGGACUGAGAUACGGCCCAGACUCCUACGGGAGGCAGCA
rnacentral:rRNA from 1 species